UACAGAGGGUGCAAGCGUUGUUCGGAAUUAUUGGGCGUAAAGCGCGUGUAGGCGGCUUUGCAAGUCGGGUGUGGAAUCCCUCAGCUUAACUGAGGAAGUGCGCCCGAAACUGCCGAGCUUGAGUACCGGAGAGGGUGGCGGAAUUCCCCAAGUAGAGGUGAAAUUCGUAGAUAUGGGGAGGAACACCGGUGGCGAAGGCGGCCACCUGGACGGAUACUGACGCUGAGACGCGAAAGCGUGGGGAGCAAACAGG
rnacentral:rRNA from 1 species